rnacentral:rRNA from 1 species
GGGGAAUAUUGGACAAUGGGCGCAAGCCUGAUCCAGCCAUGCCGCGUGGUGGAAGAGGCCUUUGGGUUUGUAAGCCCUUUUUGUGGGGAAACAAAAGCACCGGGCAAAUCCCCGUUGGUUCUGAGGUUACCAAAAGAAAAAGCCCCGGCUAACUUCGGCCCAGCAGCCGCGGUAAUACGAAGGGUGCAAGCGUUACUCGGAAUUACUGGGCGUAAAGCGUGCGUAGGUGGUGGUUUAAGUCCGUUGUGAAAGCCCUGGGCUCAACCUGGGAACUGCAGUGGAUACUGGAUCACUAGAGUGUGGCAGAGGGUAGUGGAAUUCCCGGUGUAGCAGUGAAAUGCGUAGAGAUCGGGAGGAACAUCAGUGGCGAAGGCGACUGCCUGGGCCAACACUGACACUGAGGCACGAAAGCGUGGGGAGCAAACA